GCAGGGCGUGGUGGCACACACCUGUAAUCCCAGCGGCUCAGGAGGCUGAGGCAUGAGGAUCACAAGUUCAAAGCCAGCCUCAGCAAAAGUGAGGCGCUGAGCAAUUCAGUGAGACCCUGUCUCUA
rnacentral:sRNA from 1 species